CCUACGGGUGGCAGCAGUGGGGAAUAUUGGACAAUGGGCGCAAGCCUGAUCCAGCAAUGCCGCGUGUGUGAAGAAGGUCUUCGGAUUGUAAAGCACUUUCGACGGGGACGAUGAUGACGGUACCCGUAGAAGAAGCCCCGGCCAACUUCGUGCCAGCAGCCGCGGUAAUACGAAGGGGGCUAGCGUUGCUCGGAAUGACUGGGCGUAAAGGGCGCGUAGGCGGGCGUCGAAGUCGGGCGUGAAAUCCCUGGGCUCAACCUGGGGGCUGCGUUCGAUACUCGUCGCCUGGAGUGCGGGAGAGGGUCGUGGAAUUCCCAGUGUAGAGGUGAAAUUCGUAGAUAUUGGGAAGAACACCGGUGGCGAAGGCGGCGACCUGGCCCGUUACUGACGCUGAGGCGCGAAAGCGUGGGGAGCAAACAGGAUUAGAUACCCUUGUAGUC
rnacentral:rRNA from 1 species